CCUACGGGGUGCAGCAGUGAGGAAUAUUGGUCAAUGGACGCAAGUCUGAACCAGCCAUGCCGCGUGCAGGAAGACGGCUCUAUGAGUUGUAAACUGCUUUUGUACGAGGGUAAACGCAGAUACGCGUAUCUUUCUGAAAGUAUCGUACGAAUAAGGAUCGGCUAACUCCGUGCCAGCAGCCGCGGUAAUACGGAGGAUUCAAGCGUUAUCCGGAUUUAUUGGGUUUAAAGGGUGCGUAGGCGGUCGGAUAAGUUAGAGGUGAAAUCCCGAGGCUCAACUUCGGAAUUGCCUUUGAUACUGUUCGGCUAGAGAGUAGUUGCGGUAGGCGGAAUGUAUGGUGUAGCGGUGAAAUGCUUAGAGAUCAUACAGAACACCGAUUGCGAAGGCAGCUUACCAAGCUAUUUCUGACGUUGAGGCACGAAAGCGUGGGGAGCAAACAGGAUUAGAUACCCCAGUAGUC
rnacentral:rRNA from 1 species